rnacentral:rRNA from 1 species
GACGAACGCUGGCGGCGUGCCUAAUACAUGCAAGUCGAGCGCAGGAAACUGACGGAGCUCUUCGGAGGGGAGGCAGUGGAAUGAGCGGCGGACGGGUGAGUAACACGUAAGGAACCUGCCUCAAGGAUUGGGAUAACUCCGAGAAAUCGGAGCUAAUACCGGAUAGUUCAACGGACCGCAUGGUCCGCUGAUGAAAGGCGCUCCGGCGUCACCUUGAGAUGGCCUUGCGGUGCAUUAGCUAGUUGGUGGGGUAACGGCUCACCAAGGCGACGAUGCAUAGCCGACCUGAGAGGGUGAUCGGCCACACUGGGACUGAGACACGGCCCAGACUCCUACGGGAGGCAGCAGUAGGGAAUCUUCCACAAUGGACGAAAGUCUGAUGGAGCAACGCCGCGUGAGUGAUGAAGGUUUUCGGAUCGUAAAACUCUGUUGUAAGGGAAGAACACGUACGAGAGGAAAUGCUCGUACCUUGACGGUACCUUACGAGAAAGCCACGGCUAACUACGUGCCAGCCGCCGCCGUAA